rnacentral:rRNA from 1 species
AUUGAACGCUGGCGGAAUGCUUUACACAUGCAAGUCGAACGGCAGCACGGACUUCGGUCUGGUGGCGAGUGGCGAACGGGUGAGUAAUGUAUCGGAACGUGCCCAGUCGUGGGGGAUAACGUAGUGAAAAUUACGCUAAUACCGCAUACGAUCUAUGGAUGAAAGCGGGGGAUCGCAAGACCUCGCGCGAUUGGAGCGGCCGAUAUCAGAUUAGGUAGUUGGUGGGGUAAAGGCCCACCAAGCCAACGAUCUGUAUCUGGUCUGAGAGGACGAACAGCCACACUGGAACUGAGACAAGGUCCAGACUCCUACGGGAGGCAGCAGUGGGGAAUUUUGGACAAUGGGCGAAAGCCUGAUCCAGCCAUUCCGCGUGCAGGAUGAAGGCCCUCGGGUUGUAAACUGCUUUUGUACAGAACGAAAAGGUUUCUACUAAUACUAGGAGCUCAUGACGGUACUGUAAGAAUAAGCACCGGCUAACUACGUGCCAGCCGCCGCCGCCG